CAAAUACUCCCUCCGUCCCAAAAUUCUUGUCUUAGAUUUGUCUAGAUACGAAUGUAUCUAGUCACGUUUUAGUAUUUUGAUACAUCCAUUUGUAAACAAACAUAAGACAAGAAUUUUGGGACGAAGGGAGUAGUAG
rnacentral:pre_miRNA from 1 species